ACGGGAGGCAGCAGUGGGGAAUAUUGCACAAUGGGGGAAACCCUGAUGCAGCGACGCCGCGUGAGUGAAGAAGUAUUUCGGUAUGUAAAGCUCUAUCAGCAGGAAAGAAAAUGACGGUACCUGACUAAGGAGCCCCGGCUAACUACGUGCCAGCAGCCGCGGUAAUACGUAGGGGGCAAGCGUUAUCCGGAUUUACUGGGUGUAAAGGGAGCGUAGACGGUAAGGCAAGUCUGAAGUGAAAUGCCAGGGCUCAACCCUGGAACUGCUUUGGAAACUGUCCUACUAGAGUGCAGGAGAGGUAAGUGGAAUUCCUAGUGUAGCGGUGAAAUGCGUAGAUAUUAGGAGGAACACCAGUGGCGAAGGCGGCUUACUGGACUGUAACUGACGUUGAGGCUCGAAAGCGUGGGGAGCAAACAGGAUUAGAUACCCUGGUA
rnacentral:rRNA from 1 species